rnacentral:lncRNA from 1 species
ACUGACUAAUAUAAACACACAUAUAUAGAAACUAGGAUCGUGAAUACGUGAUAGCAUGACCUGUAAGCUAAUACAUGGUUUACUGAUAACUGUCAUGACUGAUACUGAAACUGAUAUCAUGGACGACUGUAUUUGACAGUCCUGUAUAUACUGAAAUCUAAAGAAUGCCCUGAGUUCUUUUACUGAGACUGAUACUGAAACUGUGGGAAGUAGUGUUUAACCGACAUGCCCCAUGUAUGCCGUUAUGGCUAAGCUGGGGUCCAAUCUCUGCCCUGACUGGAGAGGUGUC